rnacentral:rRNA from 1 species
UGGGGAAUAUUGCACAAUGGGCGCAAGCCUGAUGCAGCCAUGCCGCGUGUGUGAAGAAGGCCUUCGGGUUGUAAAGCACUUUCAGCGAGGAGGAAGGGUAGUGUGUUAAUAGCACAUUGCAUUGACGUUACUCGCAGAAGAAGCACCGGCUAACUCCGUGCCAGCAGCCGCGGUAAUACGGAGGGUGCAAGCGUUAAUCGGAAUUACUGGGCGUAAAGCGCACGCAGGCGGUUUGUUAAGUCAGAUGUGAAAUCCCCGCGCUUAACGUGGGAACUGCAUUGGAAACUGGCAAGCUAGAGUCUUGUAGAGGGGGGUAGAAUUCCAGGUGUAGCGGUGAAAUGCGUAGAGAUCUGGAGGAAUACCGGUGGCGAAGGCGGCCCCCUGGACAAAGACUGACGCUCAGGUGCGAAAGCGUGGGGAGCAAACA